UACGAAGGGAGCUAGCGUUGUUCGGAAUCACUGGGCGUAAAGCGCACGUAGGCGGAUGUGUCAGUCAGGGGUGAAAUCCCGGAGCUCAACUUCGGAACUGCCUCUGAUACAGCACGUCUUGAGUCCGGAAGAGGUGGGUGGAAUUCCUAGUGUAGAGGUGAAAUUCGUAGAUAUUAGGAAGAACACCGGUGGCGAAGGCGGCCCACUGGAUCGGUACUGACGCUGAGGUGCGAAAGCGUGGGGAGCAAACAGG
rnacentral:rRNA from 1 species